AGAUAAGUUGCUAGCUGCACUGAUUUUUAAGAUAUCACUUUAGAGCAAUGUUAUUUAAAAAUUUAAGACAUUGUAUUCUUUUUCAGAAGACAGUUGCCUUCUCCCAGUUGCUAAAAGGCAAUAUUGUGUUCGCUCUUGUACCUCUUCCUCUUGUGGGAAAUGUAAUCCACACACAGUGCAUGCACAGAUGUAGUAGGUCCUACUGUUACAAAGACAACUGUGGUGCAUUACCUGGUUAGGAAACAUCAAGACCGUAUCAAUCAAAGGAAAAAUAUGAAGAUCAUAAACAAGAGAAAUUGCUCAGCUACAGUUGCAGUUAAAUGCGUCAGUCUUCGCCAAGUUUUCUAUUCGAGAAGCAAAUAACUGGAAAACAGAAUCUAGUAACAGGAAGUCAGCAUCGAGGACGGGCACAUUGGACAGGCGCCCCUCUCAUGUGCUUACGAAGUAACGCCACCCCAGGUGUCGCUUAGCAGGCAACGCUCUGGAAAGUUCCAUGCCGCCCGCAUGGUUUGCUCGGUCCUGACCAAUCAGGGCGGAGGAAGCCGCUUGGUUCGUUGAAUAUACCCAGCCGCGCGCUGCAGCAAGGCAGCCCACGCUACUCAGCCAUGUGACCUGGACGCCGCUGCGCUGCCCGUUGCCUGAGUUCAAGGGGCCUGCACUGCACGACCAGCUGGGUCGCCGUCAUCCGUCGACGCGUCGCCCGCCGUUGUCCACCACCGUCGUCCGCCGCUGUCACCGACGCGCCAGGGGCCUGCCGCCAUCGCAAAAUGACUGAGCCAGCGCCGUCCGCUGCCAACACAUUUGCCACUGCCCGAGGGUCUGGACAACUCCGCCGCCACUGCUGCCAGCCAACCACCGCCCGCCACAGCCACUGCACCAUGCCGUCGCCAUCACCAAUGUGUCGCACCACUUGUAUCGCCAUUGCACGGACCUGGCCACAGCCACGCCCCCUUCCCGCUGGCAGCCUGCGCGCUGCCCGCUGAGGACAACACACCACGCCACCUCGCUCCACUCGCCCCCGCAGUGACUCAUCAGUAGCGAUAUGUUUACAUUUUCAACUCAUUUAAACAAAAGCAAAUAGACAUUUUUACUUCAUCUUAGCAACAAGAACACAUGGCAUGUUUACCUAAUUCACACUGUUAUGUUCUGUUCUCAUUUUGUUUUGAUAUUUUAUGAUGAUUUGAUGUUUUAUGAUGAUUAUUGUAUACACACAAUAUUGUUGAUGUAAGUCCCUUUGCGACCUCUAGGAGGUCUUGAGUCACUACACCCUCCCAUAGGUUAAGACCUCUGCAGUCUUCCAUGAGGGCCAUUCUUAAUAAAGUGAUGUUUACUUUGUUUCGCAAGCUAAA